GGAGGGAUCGCAUAGUGGUCUAGUGCGGCCGCCUGCUAAGCGGUUACCUGGGGAAACCUGGGUCAUGGGUUCGAAUCCCAUUCCCUCCG
rnacentral:tRNA from 1 species